rnacentral:rRNA from 1 species
UACGUAGGCAGCAAGCGUUGUUUGGAGUUACUGGGCGUAAAGAGUGCGUAGGCGGUCCUGUAAGUUUGGUGUGAAAUCUCCCGGCUCAACUGGGAGGGUGCGCCGAAGACUGCAGGGCUUGAGUAUGGGAGAGGUAAGCGGAAUUCCUGGUGUAGCGGUGAAAUGCGUAGAUAUCAGGAGGAACACCUGUGGUGUAGACAGCUUACUGGACCAUAACUGACGCUGAGGCACGAAAGCGUGGGUAGCAAACAGG